rnacentral:rRNA from 1 species
CCUACGGGGGGCAGCAGUAGGGAAUAUUGCUCAAUGGGGGAAACCCUGAAGCAGCAACGCCGCGUGAAGGAAGAAGGCUUUCGGGUUGUAAACUUCUUUUAAGAGGGAAGAGCAGAAGACGGUACCUCUUGAAUAAGCCACGGCUAACUACGUGCCAGCAGCCGCGGUAAUACGUAGGUGGCAAGCGUUGUCCGGAUUUACUGGGUGUAAAGGGCGUGUAGCCGGGCUGACAAGUCAGAUGUGAAAUCCGGGGGCUCAACCCCCGAACUGCAUUUGAAACUGUUGGUCUGGAGUAUCGGAGAGGCAGGCGGAAUUCCUAGUGUAGCGGUGAAAUGCGUAGAUAUUAGGAGGAACACCAGUGGCGAAGGCGGCCUGCUGGACGACAACUGACGGUGAGGCGCGAAAGCGUGGGGAGCAAACAGGAUUAGAUACCCUUGUAGUC